rnacentral:lncRNA from 1 species
GUGCUUGGAAAACUGAAUCAACCAUACCCUUUCCUCUUGUGAUGUCUUGUUGGUCAUCUGAUAUAUCAUAGGCCAAACCCCUCCAUCUGUCUCCGUCGGUCUGUUUACCCUCAUCGAUCUCUUUAGCAAAAACUUUGAAGCUUCCUGAGGAAACUUUUGUGUUUGGAAGUCUUGCGGUAAGCUUUUUCAAGCUUGUGCCGAAGAAAGCUGAAUUAGAAACUGUUGGUCCAGCUACUACUGAGCCAUUCAAGCUCAUCUGCAACAUCGCAACACUUCACAUUAUUAAGAGUUCAAUUCUUACAAAUUACAAUUUACCUCCGCCUCUUUUUACUUAUCUAUUGUACAUCAUUUUUUUUGAUAAUUAGUCAAAAAAAUCUAUUGGAUCAUGAUAGAACUUGUAUCGAUUCAAAAAUCUUAGAUACAAGUUCUGUCGUGAUCGACUAGACCAACUCCUUGAAAUCUAUUACUCCUAUAUAUCUUUUUUAGCUUUACAUGAUUUCUAUAUUCGGAUCCGUUUGGAUAAAUAGUUUAAUUGAGUGUUUAUAGCAUAAGUGAUUAUCAUACAAGUGUAAAUGUGUAAACCAUCUAUAU